UACGUAGGGGGCAAGCGUUGUCCGGAAUUAUUGGGCGUAAAGAGCGCGUAGGCGGUCCGAUAAGUCGGCUGUGAAAGUCCAGGGCUCAACCCUGGGAUGCCGGUGGAUACUGCUGGGCUAGAGUACGGAAGAGGCGAGUGGAAUUCCCGGUGUAGCGGUGAAAUGCGCAGAUAUCGGGAGGAACACCUAUUGCGAAGGCAGCUCGCUGGGACGUUACUGACGCUGAGACGCGAAAGCGUGGGGAGCAAACAGG
rnacentral:rRNA from 1 species